AACGAACGCUGGCGGCGUGGAUAAGACAUGCAAGUCGAACGGGACAAGUAGCAAUAUUUGUCUAGUGGCGAACGGGUGCGUAACACGUGGGCAACAUGCCUGGAAGAGCGGGAUAGCCCGGGGAAACUCGGAUUAAUACCGCAUGUGACAACGGGGCGGAUUCGCCCUGUUUUCAAAGGCGGGGACCGCAAGGCCUGCCGCUUCCAGAUCGGCCCGCGUCCCAUCAGCUAGUUGGCGGGGUAACGGCCCACCAAGGCGACGACGGGUAGCUGGUCGGAGAGGACGACCAGCCACACUGGAACUGAGACACGGUCCAGACACCUACGGGUGGCAGCAGUCGAGAAUCUUUCACAAUGGGGGAAACCCUGAUGGAGCGACGCCGCGUGGAGGAUGACGGUCUUCGGAUUGUAAACUCCUGUCAUGAAAGAACAAGCGGAGCGGGUGAACAGCCCGCCGAGUUGAUAGUAUUUCAAGAGGAAGGGACGGCUAACUUCGUGCCAGCAGCCGCCGUAA
rnacentral:rRNA from 1 species